CCUACGUGCGGCAGCAGUGAGGAAUAUUGGUCAAUGGACGAGAGUCUGAACCAGCCAAGUAGCGUGAAGGAUGACUGCCCUAUGGGUUGUAAACUUCUUUUAUAUGGGAAUAACAUCUUCCACGUGUGUGAUUUUGUAUGUACCAUAUGAAUAAGUACCGGCUAAAUCCGUGCCAGCCGCCGCGGUAAUACGGAGGGUCCGAGCGUUAUCCGGAUUGAUUGGGUUUAACGGGAGCGUAGGUGGAUUGUUAAGUCAGUUGUGAAAGUUUGCGGGUCAACCGUAAAAUUGCAGUUGAAACUGGCAGUCUUGAGUACAGUAGAGGUGUGCGGAAUUCGUGGUGUAGCGGUGAAAUGCUUAGAUAUCACGAAGAACUCCGAUUGCGAAGGCAGCACACUGGACUGCAACUGACACUGAGGCUCGAAAGUGUGGGUAUCAAACAGGAUUAGAUACCCGGGUAGUC
rnacentral:rRNA from 1 species